rnacentral:rRNA from 1 species
UACAGAGGUCUCGAGCGUUGUUCGGAUUCAUUGGGCGUAAAGGGUGCGUAGGUGGCUAGGUAAGUCGGAUGUGAAAUCCCGGGGCUCAACCCCGGAACUGCAUUCGAUACUGCCUGGCUAGAGUACUGGAGAGGAGAUUGGAAUUUACGGUGUAGCAGUGAAAUGCGUAGAUAUCGUAAGGAAGACCAGUGGCGAAGGCGGACCUCUGGACAGUUACUGACACUGAGGCACGAAGGCCAGGGGAGCAAACGGG